rnacentral:rRNA from 1 species
GAUGAACGCUAGCGGCAGGCCUAAUACAUGCAAGUCGGACGGUAUUCCGCCUUCGGGCGGGAGAGAGUGGCGCACGGGUGCGUAACGCGUAUGCAACCUGCCCCUUACGGGGGGAUAGCCCGGGGAAACCCGGAUUAAUCACCCAUGUUCCGUGUUUCCGGCAUCGGUUACACGGCAAAGGUUUCGGCCGGUAAGGGAUGGGCAUGCGUAGGAUUAGCUAGUUGGCGGUGUAACGGACCACCAAGGCUGCGAUCCUUAGGGGUUCUGAGAGGAAGGUCCCCCACACUGGCACUGAGAUACGGGCCAGACUCCGACGGGAGGCAGCAGUAGGGAAUAUUGGGCAAUGGGCGGAGGCCUGACCCAGCCAUGCCGCGUGCAGGAAGACGGCGUUCUGCGUUGUAAACUGCUUUUAUACGGGAAGAAAAGGCCCAUGCGUGGGACAUUGCCGGUACCGUAUGAAUAAGCACCGGCUAACUCCGUGCCAGCAGCCGCCGUAACAC